UACGAAGGGGGCUAGCGUUGCUCGGAAUCACUGGGCGUAAAGCGCACGUAGGCGGAUUGUUAAGUCAGGGGUGAAAUCCUGGAGCUCAACUCCAGAACUGCCUUUGAUACUGGCGAUCUCGAGUCCGGGAGAGGUGAGUGGAACUGCGAGUGUAGAGGUGAAAUUCGUAGAUAUUCGCAAGAACACCAGUGGCGAAGGCGGCUCACUGGCCCGGUACUGACGCUGUGGUGCGAAAGCGUGGGGAGCAAACAGG
rnacentral:rRNA from 1 species